rnacentral:rRNA from 1 species
AUUGAACGCUGGCGGCAGGCCUAACACAUGCAAGUCGAGCGAGCGGCGGACGGGUGAGUAAUGUAUGGGGACUGCCCGAUAGAGGGGGAUAUCUACUGGAAACGGUAGCUAAUACCGCACACUAUCGGAGAACCCAUAUGGGAUUGGCUAGUAGGUGAGGUAAUGGCUCACCUAGGCGACGACCCGUGGCUGGGUUGAGAGGACGCCCAGCCACACUGGGGAUGAGACACGGCCCGGACUCCUACGGAGGCAGAAGUGGGGAAUUGUGGACAAUGGGGUAAACCCUGAUCCAGCCAUCCCGCGUGUAUGAUGAAGGCCUUCGGGUUGUAAAGUACUUUUGGCAGAGAAGCGGUAUCUGCAGAAUAAGCACCGGCUAACUACGUGCCAGCAGCCGCGGUAAUAC